AAGUGAGUCAUUAGUUCAUUACUCGAAACGGAGCCAAACGUGCAAGUGAAAUUCUCCAUGUGCAAAAACUUACAUUACUAAUUUUCCUGGCAUUUGAACAUUGAACUUGUGAAACAAAUAGGCCAUUGCUUCCCUGACAAUUCCGACAUUUUUUUCGAAACUUUUGUGCAAGAUUUGAUUUGUCUUCUUUUCGGGAACGGCUUGACGACCACCGCUUGGCUGAGACACAUUUACAACCGCGUGGGUGCUUCUUCAUGGCCGUUUUCUUCCAUCCGUUGAGCUGUUGGCCAAAUUGAAAAACAUUCCCGAGGAAGGUGGCAGCCAUUUGUAAUGAUGGCUUAUCUCGACACGACCACACUAGAAAAGGGAUUAAACUGCAAGUCGUCGGUUGGUUGGCCUGUCUACGUGCGUCACGCCUACAAAAGCAGCUGACAAGAACGGCGAGAGAACCGGAGGUUUGCCAAAUGCGAGAAGAGAGGCGGAAGUCAAAUAUUGACCCCAGACACAAAAAAAACCUUCUUCUUUUUCCCUUAAAAAGAAGGAUGCAACUAAAGGACGGACUUGUGUCAUGCUUGGCGCCUCAACCACUCUACUCCACCCGGAAUGCAAACCAAAGAUCUAGAUGCAAGGGGGCCCUUUGAACCCACUCACGGAGCAAGUGUUCAGCAAUCCAGCAAGAUAACUCCUCUGACAUGAGAGCUUCCGGUCCGCAUAGAUGCCUGGCUAGUUUCGCGACCUUUGGCAGCUGGCCCGACGACCAGAAAGUCACCCGAGUAACUGAGCACCAAUCCGCGACUGACCCAAACGAUUUAUUUCCCUUUAUCGCCUUUAGCUUGCAUUAUUCAUUCAAGUAAAUCGUUUCACGUUUAACCUGUAAA
rnacentral:lncRNA from 1 species